UACAGAGGUCCCAAGCGUUGUUCGGAUUCACUGGGCGUAAAGGGUGCGUAGGUGGGCUAGUAAGUCCGUGGUGAAAUCUCUGAGCUUAACUCGGAAACUGCCGUGGAUACUAUUAGUCUUGAAUCUCGUGGAGGUAAGCGGAAUAUGUCAUGUAGCGGUGAAAUGCUUAGAUAUGACAUAGAACACCGAUAGCGAAGGCAGCUUGCUACACGAGUAUUGACACUGGAGGCAACGGAAAA
rnacentral:rRNA from 1 species